rnacentral:rRNA from 1 species
GAUGAACGCUGGCGGCGUGCCUAAUACAUGCAAGUCGAGCGAACAGACGAGGAGCUUGCUCCUCUGACGUUAGCGGCGGACGGGUGAGUAACACGUGGAUAACCUACCUAUAAGACUGGGAUAACUUCGGGAAACCGGAGCUAAUACCGGAUAAUAUAUUGAACCGCAUGGUUCAAUAGUGAAAGACGGUUUUGCUGUCACUUAUAGAUGGAUCCGCGCCGCAUUAGCUAGUUGGUAAGGUAACGGCUUACCAAGGCAACGAUGCGUAGCCGACCUGAGAGGGUGAUCGGCCACACUGGAACUGAGACACGGUCCAGACUCCUACGGGAGGCAGCAGUAGGGAAUCUUCCGCAAUGGGCGAAAGCCUGACGGAGCAACGCCGCGUGAGUGAUGAAGGUCUUCGGAUCGUAAAACUCUGUUAUUAGGGAAGAACAAAUGUGUAAGUAACUAUGCACGCCUUGACGGUACCUAAUCAGAAAGCCACGGCUAACUACGU